rnacentral:rRNA from 1 species
AGAGCGAACGCUGGCGGCAGGCCUAACACAUGCAAGUCGAGCGCCCGUAGCAAUACGGGAGCGGCAGACGGGAUAGUAACACGUGGGAACGCGCCCUUCGGUUCGGAAUAACUCAGGGAAACUUGAGCUAAUACCGAAUACGCCCUUACGGGGAAAGAUUUAUUGCCGAAGGAACGGCCCGCGUCCGAUUAGCUAGUUGGUGAGGUAAUGGCUCACCAAGGCUACGAUCGGUAGCUGGUCUGAGAGGAUGACCAGCAUCACUGGGACUGAGACACGGCCCAGACUCCUACGGGAGGCAGCAGUGGGGAAUAUUGCGCAAUGGGCGAAAGCCUGACGCAGCGACGCCGCGUGGGGGAUGAAGGCCUUCGGGUUGUAAACCCCUUUCAGCAGGGACGAAGCGAAAGUGACGGUACCUGCAGAAGAAGCGCCGGCUAACUACGUGCCAGCAGCCGC